AAACUGAUAAGGGGAGAUCACUGCGAGUUAACUCAACUCUAUUAAAUCCUACGAUUUUCAAAUUUUAUGUAGCACCGGGACACACAAACAAAAAUGUCAAUUUACAGAAAUGCUUUUCAGAAGCUGCACAGGUCAUACCCAUCACUCAACUUGAUGAUUCAAGUGAGUAAAGAUCUGAAUGGCGUGCAGGUUGUUUUACCAGGACUCAGGUUUGAUGAUAUUAAUCAUACAGGUCAGCCAAACAUGGUCACAAUGUUUGAUAUGAUGAGCCAUGUGGAGACGGCAUCCUUUGGUCAUGAACCGUCCUUCCUGGACUAUCUUGCAUUGCGUCAUCAGAAUCUCCGCGUUUUUGUCAAAUGCUGUGUUAUGGACAUCAGUAGUAAAUUCUAUGAAACGACAACGCCUAAAGCACCACUGGACGUCCAAGUAAAAUUAUCAGACAUUGGAAACACUACUUUUACCACUACAAAUGAGCUGUUUUGUGGCGGGAACUUGAAUCCAUCAAUAAGGACACGGAGCGUGUAUGCUUUUAUUAAUAAGAAAACUAGUAAGAUUGAGGCCGUACCUGAAUGGUGGAGAAAUAGAUUUGCCCCAUUGGUGAAAACUCCGUUGGGAAAUAACAGACCGUUUGUCACUCCAAAACAGAAGGCAGAGGACACUCAUAUCAAUUGCUUUACAAUACCUUUGACAGAUACUGAUCAUAAUGAAAGGACAAGGUGCGCAUCUUAUUUGAGAUAUUUUACUGAGAACACGAGUGUGGCAUCUAGGAAAGAACUUUUGAAACACAUUAAGUCCUCGUUCCAUGAGUUCCAUAUCAAGAGGCUGUCAAUGGUGUACUUUGGUCCAACAAAUUGGGGAGACAUGCUCACGUCCGAAACAUGGCAAGAUGAUCGACCACUGAAUAUCAUGUGUGAAAUCUGUAAAGAUGGUAAUCUUAAGUGGUUUGCGGAGAUGGAACUUUAUAACAAGGUGUAUGGGCUGCCGGAGCUGGAGACCACUCAUAACUCAAAUUCACAAUGAAAAGAUUAAAUUUGUGUGUUUUUGAUUUUUUUGUUUAUGUAAGGAUUUGUUAGUAUUUAAUUGAGUUUAUUUUUCAAACUUCAUUUGUUAAGAUUUAUUUUUGUCAAUAAUAAGGUUUAGGACUGAAGUAUAAGAUAGUUUAGAAUUUUCAUCUUUUGAAUGUUUUAUUUUUUUGUUUCAGACAUAUCAGAAUAUUUUUAUUAGACAUUCUGUCAUACAAUAUGAAAAAGAAUAUUCAGUAAUGUUUGACUUAGAUUCAUCUUAGUCUGUAGUAAAAGUAAAACACUAAACCUUGAACCUGCUUGAGCCAAAAGUGAUCUCCCUUUGCCACCAGUGUAGAGCCAGGCUAGCUUGCACCUUCUGUGUGUUCUGACCAGCUGCUAUAUUGUUUGUGGCUCAUAUUUCUAUUAUGAUGUUGAAAUCCCUUUAACUUUAAAUGGUCUGUUCCAUGUAAAUCUAUUACACAAAUUCAGCAGGUUAUGGGGUAAGUAUCUCUUCUACGAUUUCAUCCCAUAUAAUUUAACACACAUACAUUAUUAAUGUAGGGCUAAAAAGAUCCUAACUGUUAUUAUUUUAUUUUCAUUUUAUUGAUGGAAUCUGUUUUGAUUCUGUACUACAGUGAGAAUUUUUGAUGGGUGAUUGUUAAAAAGCAUACAUUAUAUAUUAUUACCUACUUUAUAGAACUUUGGUGAAGUUCACUAUAUGAGUACAAUUCCAGGGUUUGUGAGUUUUAUUCCCCAUGCUACUUGCACGAAAAUUACUUUUACUAAUAGUCUUUUGGAAGAGACUUUAAACCAAGGAUCCCUUGUUAUAUUAAUACAAUUACGUGUUAAAGUACCGGUGGCUAUUUCUGAAAUGAACAAUCUCUGUACUGUUCGCACCAUUUCGGAAAAAAGCAAAAUGACUAAUUAUUUUAUUAAGCCAGUAUACCUGUAUUUUUCAUGCGGCAACUUUAAAUAGCACCACAAUGACAAUCUUUAAUAUGCCCCAAUUAGAAUAGAAUCUGUCCCAACAUUUUUAUUAUCUCUCUAUUUAUUUUGGAACAUAUAUCCUGCUCAGGGACUUUGGCGUCUCUGUAAGUUAAACUAGUCUUUAUUGUAUAUUUACUUUGUUUGAAUUGCCUCCCUUUAUAACAAAAAUGUUUCAUUUUGCUGAAAAUAACAUUAAAUGAAUUGUAUGUACAGUGACUAUGACUAAAUUAUCAUUUCUUUUCUUUUACAUUAAUCAAUUGCCUCAGAGCAAAAUGUUUGAUUUUAUAAGGUUAUUAAUGUGUGUUGUUUAUAAUGGCUUGAAACAUUUCGAGGGACGUCCAUGGCUGAGUGGUUAAGGUCGUUUACUUCAAACCACUUUCCCCUCAUUGCUGUAGGUUCAAAUCCCACCCGAGACUUUUGAUUCUUUCAUGUGAGUAAGCUGUCCAGCUAGCUUACAGAAAUGUUGGUUGUUCUACUUGGGUGACUGCUCAUGCUUGAAAUAAUGCAUGGAGUGGCACCAGAGGUCUAGACUUCCUCUACCAGUUUCUUUAGGCUGGAAUUUCACCAUAUGACCUAUACCAUGUUGGUGCGACACCAAAUAAAAACAACAACAACAAAAACAUCAACAAAAAACAUUAAGAAAAAAACUUGUAGCAUACUUUAUCAGACCAUUUGUUACCAUUUCUGUUUACUAAUUUCUUGGAGUGUUUGUAUUUCAUUUUGGUUACUUCCCUUUCCUUUGUUUUAUGUAUAUCAAAAGUGUUUACUGUUAUUUACUUCGUAGAGUAUUUUCUUGUCUUAAAUGGUUACAAUUUCAAGACAAAGGUGAAUUUUAUCAGUACAUGCAUGUGCUUAAUUUCAAUUUCUUGUUAUUUUAUUAAUUUAAGAAGCAGACAUUUUUGUUAGAUCCAUGUUUAGUUGGAAAAUAUUAAGCGAAUACCUCAUUGAUUGCUUAGUCUGUUCUUUUUUUAGAUAUGUUUUAUCUAUAGAGGCAUACGAUUUUCAGGAUUUUUUUUUCUCAGAAUUUAAAUAAAGGCAGCUAUGUACAAUUUUCCAACAUGUAAAUAGAUUCUGACAGGUAUGUAGAAUUAAAAUGUAGUAGGAAAAGACUGCAGCUGUUUAAACAGAUUUGCAACUGUUAAGAAAAUCGGACACCUGUUAACAAUUUACUUGCCUCUCAUUUUUGCUACAUGUAUUUGGAUGUUGAUUAGAAGUGGUUUGUUGCUGGAAGAUGUAUUUUAUCUUAAAUUCAUUGUAACUUUUGUUGUUAUUACCUUAAUGCUUGUGUAAAAAAUCAUGUCUUAUAUAUCUAAUGGUAAUGUUACUGGAGCAUUAUUCAACUCUACUAAUCUUUUCUGACUUCUCUUUUGAAACAGUCAAAUGAUCUAUUUUAGGUCACAUUGCUGAAUUUGUGAAUGGACUUGUCCAAUGACCAUUUUGAAACAGUCAAAUUAUCAAUUUUAGGUCACUUUGCUGAAUAAUUGUGAAUGGACUUGUCCAAUGACCAUUUUGAAACAGUCAAAUUAUCAAUUUUAGGAAUAUUUCAUUGGAAAAUUUGAAAAUAUGCAGACAGUAGAGAACCUCUGAGACAGAACGGAUGUCUGUGUUUAUCAGCUUGGCUCUGUAUUUUGCAAAAGAGUUUUGGGUCUUGGUUUAGAAUGCAUUAAAUUUGAGUAUAUGUAGUUUCAAUAUUUAAUUGUAAUAAAAGCUUACGGUGGGAAAUUUAUUUUGAUAUUGUAUUUGAAAAAUAAUUACAGUAUGCUAAAAUGUACAUAUGAUAAUCCUUGAAAAAGAUGAUUUAUUAUACCAGUGUACUUGAAAUGAAAUUGUAAUUAAACUUUAUUUUCAGAUAUUUUUUUUAUAUACAAGUAAUUUAGAUGUAGCAAGUUUUUGAAAGGUUUUUGCUCAAAUUUGUUUUAUUGUUGCAGUCUCCAUCAUCCCUCACGAUCAUACUCAAAUUUCUUUAUAUUUUUGUUCACUUUCAUAGCUCUGAAAGAAUCUCCACUUUUCUAGAAGUGUUAUUCCUUAUAAUAUUGUACUUAUUAAUGUCACGUAAUGGACUAGAGGCCUGAAGCAUUUCAUAAAUAGUUUAAACAUGUUUAUUUUAGCUGGAUUGCAAUACAAGUUCUUGUAACAUAUUUUUAUCCAUUUUAAAGUCUGCUGUAUGGAACUAACCAAUACUGGCGUCAGACAAGGAAACAUGGUGGUGACCCAAGUAAGGCUCAAACCCAUGACCUCUGGGUUGAGAGGCAGAUUACCUUAACCGCUAGGUUACUGCUAUAAUUUAAAAUUUGUAAAUAAAGUUGAAGAGGAAGAUUCUAAACUUACUAUGUUGAUGACAAGUUGGAAAAUGUAUAUAAAACAGAUUUGAUUAUUAUUGUUAAUGCAUUCAUGCUUCAUCAUUCAAUAUUGCAUUGUCUUGUUCUAAUGCUUUAUUAGUUUGUUAUCAAUCAAUAUGGCCUAUAUGACUGAUAUGUGAUUACAACAGCAUUCAAUAUUGUAUGAUUACAUACAUGUUUACAUGUACAAUGUAUAAUAAUUGCCUCGGUAAAUGAACAUUUAUAUAAAUUGUCAGUCUGACGAGAAUCACCACUUAAAUCAUAAGCACUGUAUGUUAACAUAAAAAGAUCUGAACUUUAGCCAGAUUGCAUUAUUGCUUAAUUUUAUCAAUAAUGGUGAACAGCUAUUCAUGUUGCAUGCCUGCAAGUACUGGGAUAGACAGAGCUACUUGUACAUAUGGUAAUUAGCAUAUUGUUUAUAAGUACAUGUAGUCAUAUUCCAACAGAAAAUAAAUGCACUUGAGAGCUGCAAGUCUGUAGGUGAAUAUGAAAUAAGUAUUCAAAAUUUACAAAACUAAAUGUAUGUUAAUAGGAGAACAUGUAAAUAUGUUAAAAAAUGAGUACAUGAUCACAUCCCAAGUUAGUUUUUGCAUGACCUCUGCAAAAUUAACAUAGUUUGUUAUUUUUAUCACCAUAUUUCUAUCCUAUUACUAGUGGAGUAUUUUGGGGAAGGGGUGUGUCCUUGGUUGAGUGGUUAAGGUUUCUGACUUCAAACCACUUGCCCCUUACAAAAAAGAACAAAUUUCAUGAAAUGUAAAUCUUGUGAUGUGUUGUUUUAAGGCGGAAGCAAGGAUCUGUGAAUUUUCCCCUUAUCAGUUACACAUUGUUAAGGGAUUUUUUAAUUUCCACUGGCUCAGAUUUUCACUUGUAAAGAAAAAACUACUUGUCCAUUGUCCAUCUACCAGUCCCCAGUCGACAAGUCGGGCAUAGGAUUUCCACACCCCAAGCUACCUGAGAGCUAGAUAUUACGGCUGCAAAGGAAGUCAUUUUUGAUUAUUUUUUCUUGCAUAUCAUAGUUACAUAAAUCAUAUUUCGGAAAGAAAUUACGAAAACAACUAAUAUUUUCAGCUUAGUCUGCAUGGGUAGAUUGAGUUGCCGUCAGCAAGCUAAGAAUCAAUGAGUUUUCAUGACAGAAUAUAUUAAAUUUAGCAGCCCUCUUAUGUCAUACUACAUGACUGUAUGGUGGCAUAGGAAUAUCUUUAUUACUGCUGGCACAUUUGGCAUUAAAUUCUUUCAUUGCCUACCUCAUUAAUGUUUUUUUUUUGUCUCAGGAAAUAGAUCAAAAUGAAAGAUCUGUUUUAUAUGCCAAACUAAAAUGAUAUAAUACUCUAGUCUAUGGUUUUAAUGUGACUGUUGUUAAUUGGUGGAGUUAUUUGUUGUUAUUUGAUAAAAAUUAUACCCAAGGUGCAUAAAUUGACAAAAAGUUUUAAAUUUCUGAUAAAGAAUAUUAUGCAUGUAUAAACUUAUUGUUAAAUUUUCUAAAAACAGCUGCAUAUUUUGUUUUCAUUAAUUCUUAUUUAGAAAUAUCCAUAAUGUUUUUAUAAGAACUUGAUCAUGCAGUUUGUUUAUCAUUUAGAUUUGUUUACAUGUUUUUCAACAAGAAAAAUUUCAUGACAAUGGUAUUUAAAUAUGCUGAUGAUUUUUAUAAGCUUAACCCUUAACCUGUUAAAAUUCUAAAAUGGACUUGUCCAGCAUCUAGUUUUGGAACAAUCCAUUAUCAAAUUCAGGGAUAUCAAGAUAAAUGUUUUAAGUUGGUCAGCAAUAUAGAUCCUGGUCAGAUUGCUCAAUACUGAUGGCAUUAAAGGCUAAACCCUUUCACGCCCAGCAGGGUAAGGGUUAAAUAUAAAUGAAUUGUUGGUUUUUCUUUGUUGUUGCUUUGUUUAGUAUUAAAGAAUAUACCGGUAAUAUUUAUUUAUCAUACAUGUGUAUCCAAAAUAAGAACUUUUUACAGUAAAAAUUAACCACUUUUUUAUUGAUGUGCCCUCUGUGUAAUGCUAUAAUUAAUUUGCCUUUACAAUAUGUUUGUUUAAUGCAAACAAUGUCAUGUCAAAAUAUAUGCACAGCUGUGCAUUACUGUUUUUACGUAGUCACAAAAGCGACACAGGUAUAUGAUAAAUAAGAAAUGUUAUAUAAAAGAAUGGAAAUAAACACUGUGAGUUAAUAAAAUAAAAAUAUGUAUUUAUUGUCUUUAUGAUAAAGAUAAAAAUGAAAUUAAAUGUUUUUGUUAAAAGAUAUUAUUGAAAUAAAAAGAUUUGUUUUUU